rnacentral:rRNA from 1 species
CCUGGUAGUAGGGAAUAGCCAGUGGAAACAUUGGGUAAAACCCUAUAAGCCCUGAGGGGGAAAAAUUUAUUGCUAUCAGAUGGGCCCGCGUUGGAUUAGCUUGUUGGCGAGGUAAUGGCUCACCAAGGCUACGAUCCAUAGCUGGUUUGAGAGGAUGAUCAGCCACACUGGAACUGAGACACGGUCCAGACUUCUACGGAAGGCAGCAGUGGGGAAUAUUGGACAAUGGGCGAAAGCCUGAUCCAGCCAUACCGCAUGAGGGAUGAAGGCUCUUGAGUUGUAAACCUCUUUCAGUGGGGAAGAUUAUGACGGUACCCACAGAAGAAGUCCCGGCUAACUCCGUGCCAGCAGCCGCGGUAAUACGGAGGGGGCUAGCGUUGUUCGGAAUCACUGGGCGUAAAGGGUGUGUAGGCGGCCCUUCAAGUCAGUUGUGAAAGCCUUGGGCUUAACCCAAGAACUGCAAUUGAAACUGGAGGGCUUGAAUAUGAGAGAGGGUGAUGGAAUUUUUGGUGUAGGGGUGAAAUCCGUAGAUAUCAAGAGGAACGUCAGGGGCGAAAGCGGUCACCUAGAUCAUUAUUGACGCUGAGGCACGAAA